UCAGGAAGAGGUGUGUCCUUGACAGGAAGGGCUGGUACACAUUUAGAUUAGGGGGGUGCCCAGGUUUAGUCAUGCCUAGGGCAACACAAAACCGAAAUACACCACUGCCAUCCACCAAUCCACCAUAGCCAGUCAGCUGUUGGUCACACAUCAACAGCAUAAUCUCCACUCCAGUCCCUCCCCCUUGCCUUGAGAGUCUUAUCGUGAAGAACCACAU